rnacentral:rRNA from 1 species
GAUUAUGGCUCAGAACGAACGCUGGCGGCAUGGAUAGGCAUGCAAGUCGAACGGGAGCAGCAAUGCUCCAGUGGCGCAAGGGUGAGGAACACGUGAACAACCUGCCUUCGAGUUGGGGAUAGCUUCUGGAAACGGGAGAUAAUACCGAAUAACAUCAUUUUCUCGCAUGGGGAUUUGAUCAAAGCAGCAAUGCGCCUGAAGAGGGGUUCGCGUCCCAUUAGCUAGUUGGUGAGGUAACGGCCCACCAAGGCGAUGAUGGGUAGCUGGUCUGAGAGGACGAUCAGCCACAUUGGGACUGAGAUACUGCCCAGACUCCUACGGGAGGCUGCAGUCGAGAAUUUUGGGCAAUGGACGAAAGUCUGACCCAGCCAAUGCCGCGUGCGGGAUGAAGGUCUUCGGAUUGUAAACCGCUGUCAAGAGGGACGAAGAUUGACGGUACCUCUGGAGGAAGCCACGGCUAACUACGUGCCAGCAGCCGC